AAAACCACUCAAGCUCUUUUGCUUGGUAUUGGGAGAGGAGUGCACUCGUUGCCCUCCCUUCCGAAAUUCAAUGGCGGAAAGCCCCAUGUGCCCCGGCGUAGUAAGUUUUCUUUCGCUUGGAACGUGAGGUGAUCCUGCCGCAAACCCCCAAUUCUUUCUA
rnacentral:misc_RNA from 1 species